AUAGUAGUGUCAGAGUUUGAUCCUGGCUCAGGAUGAACGCUAGCGAUAGGCUUAACACAUGCAAGUCGAGGGGCAUCAUUAUUUUAGCUUGCUAAGAUAGAUGGCGACCGGCGCACGGGUGCGUAACGCGUAUGCAACCUACCUGUAAUUAGGGGAUAACCCGGUGAAAGUCGGACUAAUACCCUAUAUGCUCUUAGAGUCACAUGAUUUAUAGAGGAAAGAUUUAUUGAUUACAGAUGGGCAUGCGUCCCAUUAGCUGGUUGGUAAGGUAACGGCUUACCAAGGCGACGAUGGGUAGGGGGACUGAGAGGUUGACCCCCCACACUGGUACUGAGACACGGACCAG
rnacentral:rRNA from 1 species